GCGUGGCUUCCGGAGCUAACGCGUUAAAUCGACCGCCUGGGGAGUACGGCCGCAAGGUUAAAACUCAAAUGAAUUGACGGGGGCCCGCACAAGCGGUGGAGCAUGUGGUUUAAUUCGAUGCAACGCGAAGAACCUUACCUACUCUUGACAUCCAGAGAACUUUCCAGAGAUGGAUUGGUGCCUUCGGGAACUCUGAGACAGGUGCUGCAUGGCUGUCGUCAGCUCGUGUUGUGAAAUGUUGGGUUAAGUCCCGCAACGAGCGCAACCCUUAUCCUUUGUUGCCAGCGGUUCGGCCGGGAACUCAAAGGAGACUGCCAGUGAUAAACUGGAGGAAGG
rnacentral:rRNA from 1 species